GACAGAGGGUGCAAACGUUGCUCGGAAUUACUGGGCGUAAAGCGCGUGUAGGCGGUCACGCAAGUCAGGUGUGAAAGCCCUGGGCUCAACCCAGGAAGUGCACAUGAUACUACGUGGCUGGAGUACUGAAGAGGAGAGCGGAAUUCCCGGUGUAGAGGUGAAAUUCGUAGAUAUCGGGAGGAACACCAGUGGCGAAGGCGGCUCUCUGGGCAGAUACUGACGCUGAGACGCGAAAGCGUGGGUAGCAAACAGG
rnacentral:rRNA from 1 species